AACGAACGCUGGCGGCAUGCCUAACACAUGCAAGUCGAACGAGACCUUCGGGUCUAGUUGCGCACGGGUGCGUAACGCGUGGGAACCUGCCCUUAGGUUCGGAAUAACUCCCCGAAAGGGGUGCUAAUACCGGAUAAUGUCUUCGGACCAAAGAUUUAUCGCCUUUGGAUGGGCCCGCGUUGGAUUAGCUAGUUGGUAGGGUAAAAGCCUACCAAGGCGACGAUCCAUAGCUGGUCUGAGAGGAUGAUCAGCCACACUGGGACUGAGACACGGCCCAGACUCCUACGGGAGGCAGCAGUGGGGAAUAUUGGACAAUGGGCGAAAGCCUGAUCCAGCAAUGCCGCGUGAGUGAUGAAGGCCUUAGGGUUGUAAAGCUCUUUUACCCGGGAUGAUAAUGACAGUACCGGGAGAAUAAGCUCCGGCUAACUCCGUG
rnacentral:rRNA from 1 species